rnacentral:rRNA from 1 species
GAGCGAACAGACGAGGAGCUUGCUCCUCUGACGUUAGCGGCGGACGGGUGAGAUAACACGUGGAUAACCUACCUAUAAGACUGGGAUAACUUCGGGAAACCGGAGCUAAUACCGGAUAAUAUAUUGAACCGCAUGGUUCAAUAGUGAAAGACGGUUUUGCUGUCACUUAUAGAUGGAUCCGCGCCGCAUUAGCUAGUUGGUAAGGUAACGGCUUACCAAGGCAACGAUGCGUAGCCGACCUGAGAGGGUGAUCGGCCACACUGGAACUGAGACACGGUCCAGACUCCUACGGGAGGCAGCAGUAGGGAAUCUUCCGCAAUGGGCGAAAGCCUGACGGAGCAACGCCGCGUGAGUGAUGAAGGUCUUCGGAUCGUAAAACUCUGUUAUUAGGGAAGAACAAAUGUGUAAGUAACUAUGCACGUCUUGACGGUACCUAAUCAGAAAGCCACGGCUAACUACGUGCCAGCAGCCGCGGUAAUACGUAGGUGGCAAGCGUUAUCCGGAAUUAUUGGGCGUAAAGCGCGCGUAGGCGGUUUUUUAAGUCUGAUGUGAAAGCCCACGGCUCAACCGUGGAGGGUCAUUGGAAACUGAAAAACUUGAGUGCAGAAGAGGAAAGUGGAAUUCCAUGUGUAGCGGUGAAAUGCGCAGAGAUAUGGAGGAACACCAGUGGCGAAGGCGACUUUCUGGUCUGUAACUGACGCUGAUGUGCGAAAG